CACCGUUUGACUUCUUUACGGGGUCCUUGUAUAACGUGCGCUUCAUAAAUUCACCUCUUGUGACCGUUCAAGCCCACAGAAAAAGUCUGCCUUGGUGAAGUGCACUGCUGGAACUUAGCCUACAUCGUCUUUUAUCUUUGGUUUCAUAAUCACACAUGUGGAAUUGAGCCUCGGACUAUUCGGCAUAUUGAACCGUCGGCCCAAGACGCCUCCUUUUUGACAAGUCGGACAAACGGACCUUCGGACCAAGGGGUUCCGUUUUCGGAACAUUGAACCGUCAGCAUAGUGGCAUGUCGAUCUAAUGGGAAAUAUUUCGGACCAUUGAGACGUCGGAACAAUGAGGCGUCGGAAUUACGGCAUGGCACCCAUGGAAUAACGUAUCAUCUUUAACGUUAACUUAGAUGUCAACUAGCCUAGAUGUCAACGGCUAACUUCCUACUCACCUCAACCUCGUAAACUUUCUUUUUUCUGUGAUGCCUGGACGCUACCCUUUAUAACUCCCCGAGGCAAAACGGCUACACUGACCACUCUGUUGGAGUGAAACGAAUUCAACCCUUUCUUUACUCUUUCAGGUGUCUCACUGAAGAAAGAAGUAAUCGUAAAAAGGUUCACUGGUUCAGCCAUCGUUGUUUGUUUUGAUGUUCGACGGAGCGGUUGGACCCGGAAGUUUUAUUUUGGUGCCCCACUCCGCACUCUGCAACCAGGUGUGUGCGGAGUGAUUCCGAAUCGCACACGCUGCCUGCAACCAGGUAUGUAUGUGCGGAGGGGAUCCGAAUCGCACACCUACCUCCGCUGCCUGCCCUGCAUUGGCCGGCCCACAAUGCUUGUGUAGCCUAUAUAUACGAGCGCUCAAUAUUAUCCUCACCACCAAAACGUCCUGCCUCUCUCCUUGUGUGCGCUUCUGAUCAACGGCUGAAUGGCUCUCCUCUCCCGCCACGAGACCAGAGGUUCUGAGUCCACCGUCCGGACCCGGAGGAGGACCUGCUGGACCCGGAGGAGUACCUGCUGGCCCCGGAGGAGGACCUGCUGGCCCCGGAGGAGUAGCCUACCUGCUGGCCGCGGAGGAGGACCUGCUGGACCCGGAGGAGGACUGGCCGCUAGACCGCGCCGACGACGCCGGUUAAGCAUGGACCAGCCGCCUUCAUUGGAAGCGGAUUCGACCGGAGCGGAUCAACGCGUGGACGUCUACGCACACACACACUUCUUUGGUGGCUUAGCAAGAAAAAUAAUUGCGUUUAUGUGUAAACUCACCUCCAUGCAAUGAUGAACAAAGAACAAAGACAAUAAAACUUUCCAUUUAGCCUCUAGCGAUAUAAACCGGGGUCCCCACUCACAAACGUCCUAUGCUUAAUAAUCUUUUCCAAUCGAUUAAUCAUUUAGUGCCACUGCCAGUGAAAUAAGAAAUUGCGCUAGCGUUACAUUUUAGGUUAAAUAUUGACAUUGUUAAGAUCCUCGAAGUCCGUUCUUGUGUAAACUCACCUCCAUGUAAUGAUGAACACUGACAAUAAAAGACCCGUUGAUUAUU
ensembl:lncRNA